rnacentral:rRNA from 1 species
AGCAGUGAGGAAUAUUGGUCAAUGGGAGAGAUCCUGAACCAGCCAAGCCGCGUGAGGGAAGACGGCCCUAUGGGUUGUAAACCUCUUUUGUCGGAGAACAAAACCCGGGACGAGUCCCGGACUGCGUGUAUCCGAAGAAAAAGCAUCGGCUAACUCCGUGCCAGCAGCCGCGGUAAUACGGAGGAUGCGAGCGUUAUCCGGAUUUAUUGGGUUUAAAGGGUGCGUAGGCGGUCCGUUAAGUCAGCGGUAAAAUUGCGGGGCUCAACCCCGUCGAGCCGUUGAAGCUGUCAGACUUGAGUUGGCGAGAAGUACGCGGAAUGCGCGGUGUAGCGGUGAAAUGCAUAGAUAUCGCGCAGAACUCCGAUUGCGAAGGCAGCGUACCGGCGCCAGACUGACGCUGAGGCACGAAAGCGUGGGGAUCGAACAGGAUUAGAUACCCUGGUAGUCCACGCAGUAAACG